GGGGUGAGUAAAGCGGCGAAAGGGUGAGUAAUAUAUAGACAACCUGCCUCUCGGAUCGGGAUAAUUCGGGGAAACCCGUUGUAAUACCGGAUGGUCCUAUCGGGUCGCAUGGCCUGACUGGUAAAUGGUAGCUUUGCUUCUGCCGAGAGAGGGGUCUAUAUCCUAUUAGCUUGUUGGUGAGGUAACGGCUCACCAAGGCGAUGAUGGGUAGCCGGACUGAGAGGUUGGCCGGUCACACUGGGACUGAGACACUGCCCAGACUCCUACGGGAGGCUGCAGUCGAGAAUCUUCCGCAAUGGACGAAAGUCUGACGGGGCGACGCCGCGUGUACGAAGAAGGCCUUCGGGUUGUAAAGUACUGUCAAGAGGGAAGAACCUUCAGGAGUUAAUAGCUCCUGUUUUGACGUUACCUCUAGAGGAAGCCCUGGCUAACUCCGUGCCAGCAGCCGCGGUAAUACGGAGAGGGCAAGCGUUGUUCGGAAUCACUGGGCAUAAAGAGCACGUGGCGGAUUGAAAAGUCGGUUGUGAAAGCCCGGGGCUCAACCCCGGAACUGCUUCCGAAACUUUCAGUCUAGAGGACGAGAGGGGAGAGUGGAACUUCUGGUGGAGCGGUGAAAUGCGUAGAUAUCAGAAGGAACACCGGUGGCGAAAGCGACUCUCUGGCUCGUAUCUGACGCUGAGGUGCGAAAGCUUGGGUAGCGAACGGGAUUAGAUACCCCGGUAGUCCAAGCCGUANACGAUGGGCACUAAGCAAGGGGAAUUCUGACAUUCUCUCUGCCGUAGCUAAUGUGUUAAGUGCCCCGCCUGGGGAGUACGGUCGCAA
rnacentral:rRNA from 1 species